rnacentral:rRNA from 1 species
CCAGACUCCUACGGGAGGCAGCAGUGGGGAAUAUUGCACAAUGGGGGAAACCCUGAUGCAGCGACGCCGCGUGAGCGAUGAAGUAUUUCGGUAUGUAAAGCUCUAUCAGCAGGGAAGAAAAUGACGGUACCUGACUAAGAAGCCCCGGCUGACUACGUGCCAGCAGCCGCGGUAAUACGUAGGGGGCAAGCGUUAUCCGGAUUUACUGGGUGUAAAGGGAGCGUAGGCGGUUUAGCAAGUCAGAAGUGAAAGCCCGGGGCUCAACCCCGGGACUGCAUUUGGAACUGUGCUGCUAGAGUGUCGGAGAGGCAGGCGGAAUUCCUAGUGUAGCGGUGAAAUGCGUAGAUAUUAGGAGGAACACCAGUGGCGAAGGCGGCCUGCUGGACGAUGACUGACGUUGAGGCUCGAAAGCGUGGGGAGCAAACAGGAUUAGAUACCCUCGUAU